GACGAACCACACAAACGUUAUUCGGAAUUACUGGGCUUAAAGGGUGCGUAGGCGGCGUGGAAAGUUGGGUGUGAAAUCCCUCAGCUUAACUGAGGAACAGCGCCCAAAACUACCAUGCUCGAGGGAGAUAGAGGAAUGCGGAACUUAGGGUGGAGCGGUGAAAUGCGUUGAUAUCCUAGGGAACACCGGUGGCGAAAGCGGCAUUCUGGAUCUCUUCUGACGCUGAGGCAC
rnacentral:rRNA from 1 species